rnacentral:snoRNA from 1 species
GUCUCUUCCCAUGGCAGUGGUGCAGGAAGAUCUCUCUUGCAGCCAGUGGGAGGGACAGAACAAAAACCAGAGGAAAGUCGUCGUGGCUGCCAGGAGCUUGUGGCUGCCACGUUUUCCUGCCUCUUACACUG